AUUCGUGUGAAGGAAGCCAUCAAAGAACCAGAGAGGUCAAGAGGUUAAUUGCCCCACUUCUCCUUUCCCUAUAAGGUGACGUUCCGUCACGAAAAGCACUCCCAAAGGAGGCGGGUGAAGGGUUGCUAUCGGAGACCUACCCGGCACACCAUUUCACUUGGCUUGCGUCUCCGACCCCCACCACGUCCCUCCUCCUCCCCAAAUCCUGGAAUACAUAAACAUCCUCUCAGUCACAUGGAGAUGGGCCUGAGCUGUGUGCGGCCUGGAUCAGCGAGGCGGGAGCGAGGUGCCUGGGUCCCCAUGGUGAGCAGGAAAGCAAUUAUGACUGAAUACACAUGUGGACAUCAGCUGGUCUGGAGCUUAAAUCGAGAAGACGACGCUUCCUGCCUCCUUUGUGCGCACGGAUGAGAACGGGCUACUUGGAGCCGGUCCGGAGUGGAAAGCUGAGAUCCAGAUGCUGAUGAGCUUUACAUCCCUCAAGGCAUUAAGCGGUCAGAUAAAAGCCCCAUCGAUGUGGACGGACGACAAAAGCGUGUGGAAUUAAUCAAUGCGGCGGAUGAUCUCGUGCAAUAAAAAUGUGUCCGGUGGUCCUUGAACACAGCGAUGAGUUGCGUGUUAAACGGGUUAGAUGCUACAUCUGGCACGCUCGCCGCUAUUUGACACCAAGAUGUGGUUACAUGAGAGGAGGCUACUAGCUACAAGUGGUCAGUUUCUCAAAACAUGCACCCAGUGGGCACUCGGGAUGAACUUACCAAAUCCCUGAUUAAGCCUUGCUGGAGAAGGAGGAGAGAAGGGGUGAGAAACGGAGGAGAAAGAAUCAAACCGAUUGGAAGCAGGAAGUCAAGUUAUGUGGGUAGGAAAGAAAAGAACAGUUGUGGCAAUUUAGAGAGAUGUCUGCUUCGUCCACAUUUACGGUCAUCGCAGAAUUGCUCACAUCUUGGCCAAAUUCAACUUUAUUUUGUGAAUGAUCAAAACAUUGUGUUGGAGAUACAUUCCUUCAAACAUUUCAGACACUCCCCUUUCUUUAAUUGUUUCAAUUGCUACAUUUUCGUUAUUAAUUCCAAUAAUUGCACAGAAUUGACAAAAGAAAGAAAAAUUGGAUGCAAAUAAACUUUUCUGUAUGAUUUUUUUUUGGGUGUAGUUUUACAGCUCAAACUGAACAACAACUAAAAAAUUAAAAUAUAUGUGCUGGGGGAAAAAAGUAGAGAUAUUUUUGAAAUAGGCAUAAAAAAUAAAUACCUAAGUACACGUAAAACCGUUUCUGAUUAAAAGGCGCUGUUGACGAAUUCUUUAGGACACUCACAUACUGUCCUUACUUCCCCCCCUCCCAAUUAUAUUUGGUAUAAAAAAGAAAGUUGGGGGAUUUAAGAUUAUUAAUUUAUGACAUAUGUAACAUGCAUUUUGCAUGUCGA